rnacentral:rRNA from 1 species
GACGGAGGAUGCAAGUGUUAUCCGGAAUCACUGGGCGUAAAGCGUCUGUAGGUCGUUUAAAAAGUCUACUGUUAAAAAUUGAAGCUUAACUUCAAAGCAUGCCGAUAGAAACUUUUAAACUUGAGUAUGGUAGGGGUAGAGGGAAUUUCCAGUGGAGCGGUGAAAUGCGUAGAUAUUGGAAAGGCCACCAAUGGCGAAGGCACUCUACUGGGCCAUUACUGACACUGAGAGACGAAAGCUAGGGGAGCAAAUGGG